rnacentral:piRNA from 1 species
UGAGCACUGGACACACUAGCCUCGGUGG